GUAUAUGCUUUGGCAUUACAUAUACUAAAAUUGGAACGAUACAGAGAAGAUUAGCAUGGCCCCUGCACAAGGAUGAUACGGCCCUUCAGUGACUUCUGUGGUAGCUUC